rnacentral:lncRNA from 1 species
GUUUCUAUGAAAGAACCUUGUGAGAUAAUUAUCUGCUGCAAGUGUGCAAGUGUGGUGGUCCAUGUGAACGUGCGAGGGUUCCACACACAGUAACACUUGCCCCUGUCUCAGUUCUCCUGCAGCUGGCGAGUGACGCUUUGCCCAGUGACAUGACCUUGGCCCUCGCUUACCUCCUCGCCUUACCACAGGCUGACCCCAAAGAGGUGAUCGGGAUGGUCACCAGGCACGUGACUCACUGUGGACUCAAAGCCUGGCCGGAGGCCCUGGCCCCACUCACCGCGCAGCUGCACCACUACAAUGAGCAGCUUCUGGACUUAACACAGGCACAGCUCCUGCAGGGCCUGGGGAAGGGCGUGGACGUGCAGCGCUUCACCACUGAUGACCAGUACAAGAGGGAGACCAUCCUUGGGCUGGCAGAAACGCUAGAGGAGAACGUGUAUAGCCUUGUGCUCUUCCUGGCUCAGCGCUGCGGCAUCUCCUGCUGGGAAGUGUUCAUGACCCACCUGGAGUUUCUGUUCACCGAUAGCGGGCGAAGAAUGCUGUCUCACACUGUUGACCAGAUGCGGAGGAAGACACUUAGAGCACCUGCCUGUCUCGGAUAUGGUUCCAGCCCAUGGCCACCACACUCAGACCCAUCAGUGAACCAGCCCUCGAUAUUCCAGAUCUGCAGCCUCCAGCUUGCACCAAUGAGCUUAGGG